CACGGCUAACUACGUGCCAGCAGCCGCGGUAAUACGUAGGUGGCAAGCGUUAUCUGGAUUUAUUGGGCGUAAAGCGAGCGCAGGCGGUCUUUUAAGUCUAAUGUGAAAGCUUUCGGCUCAACCGAAGAAGUGCAUUGGAAACUGGGAGACUUGAGUGCAGAAGAGGACAGUGGAACUCCAUGUGUAGCGGUGAAAUGCGUAGAUAUAUGGAAGAACACCAGUGGCGAAGGCGGCUGUCUGGUCUGCAACUGACGCUGAGGCUCGAAAGCAUGGGUAGCGAACAGGAUUAGAUACCCUGGUAGUCCAUGCCGUAAACGAUGAUUACUAAGUGUUGGAGGGUUUCCGCCCUUCAGUGCUGCAGCUAACGCAUUAAGUAAUCCGCCUGGGGAGUACGACCGCAAGGUUGAAACUCAAAAGAAUUGACGGGGGCCCGCACAAGCGGUGGAGCAUGUGGUUUAAUUCGAAGCUACGCGAAGAACCUUACCAGGUCUUGACAUCUUCUGACAGUCUAAGAGAUUAGAGGUUCCCUUCGGGGACAGAAUGACAGGUGGUGCAUGGUUGUCGUCAGCUCGUGUCGUGAGAUGUUGGGUUAAGUCCCGCAACGAGCGCAACCCUUAUUACUAGUUGCCAGCAUUAAGUUGGGCACUCUAGUGAGACUGCCGGUGACAAACCGGAGGAAGGUGGGGACGACGUCAAAUCAUCAUGCCCCUUAUGACCUGGGCUACACACGUGCUACAAUGGAUGGUACAACGAGUCGCGAGACCGCGAGGUUAAGCUAAUCUCUUAAAACCAUUCUCAGUUCGGACUGUAGGCUGCAACUCGCCUACACGAAGUCGGAAUCGCUAGUAAUCGCGGAUCAGCAUGCCGCGGUGAAUACGUUCCCGGGCCUUGUACACACCGCCCGUCACACCAUGAGAGUUUGUAACACCCAAAGCCGGUGGGGUAACCUUUUAGGAGCUAGCCGUCUAAGGUGGGACAGAUGAUUAGGGGAAGUCGAACAAGAGCCGUCACUGC
rnacentral:rRNA from 1 species